rnacentral:rRNA from 1 species
AGUGAACGCUGGCGGUAGGCCUAAAACAUGCAAGUCGAACGGCAGCACAGUAAGAGCUUGCUCUUACGGGUGGCGAGUGGCGGACGGGUGAGGAAUACAUCGGAAUCUACUUUUUCGUGGGGGAUAACGUAGGGAAACUUACGCUAAUACCGCAUACGACCUACGGGUGAAAGCAGGGGAUCUUCGGACCUUGCGAGAGUGAAUGAGCCGAUGUCGGAUUAGCUAGUUGGCGGGGUAAAGGCCCACCAAGGCGACGAUCCGUAGCUGGUCUGAGAGGAUGAUCAGCCACACUGGAACUGAGACACGGUCCAGACCCCUACGGGAGGCAGCAGUGGGGAAUAUUGGACAAUGGGCGCAAGCCUGAUCCAGCCAUACCGCGUGGGUGAAGAAGGCCUUCGGGUUGUAAAGCCCUUUUGUUGGGAAAGAAAAGCAGCAGGUUAAUACCCCGCUGUUCUGACGGUACCCAAAGAAUAAGCACCGGCUAACUUCGUG